CAGUAGCCACGGUAGUACGGAGGGUGCAAGCGUUAACCGGAAUUACUGGGCGUAAAGCGCACGCAGGCGGUUUGUUAAGUCAGACGUGAAAUCCCCGAGCUUAACUUGGGAACUGCAUUUGAAACUGGCAAGCUAGAGUCUUGUAGAGGGGGGUAGAAUUCCAGGUGUAGCGGUGAAAUGCGUAGAGAUCUGGAGGAAUACCGGUGGCGAAGGCGGCCCCCUGGACAAAGACUGACGCUCAGGUGCGAAAGCGUGGGGAGCAAACAGGAUUAGAUACCCCGGUAGUCCCUGUCUCUUAUAC
rnacentral:rRNA from 1 species